GAUGAACGCUGGCGGCGUGCUUAACACAUGCAAGUCGAGCGAGAAGUUUUGAAAAGAUUCUUCGGAUGAAAUUUAAAAUGGAAAGCGGCGGACGGGUGAGUAACGCGUAGGCAACCUGCCCCAUACAAAGGGAUAGCAUUUGGAAACGAAUAUUAAUACCUUAUGAUACUUAACUAGUGCAUGCUAGGUAGGUCAAAGAUUUAUCGGUAUGGGAUGGGCCUGCGUCUGAUUAGCUAGUUGGUGAGGUAACGGCUCACCAAGGCGACGAUCAGUAGCCGACCGGAGAGGGUGAACGGCCACAUGAGAACUGAGACGCGGUACAAACUCCUACGGGAGGGAGCAGUGGGGAAGAUUGCACAAUGGGGGAAGCCCUGAUGCAGCAACGCCGCGUGAACGAUGAAGGCCUUUGGGUCGUAAAGUUCUGUUCUAGGUGAUGAAAACUGACAGUAACCUAGGAGAAAGCCCCGGCUAACUCCGUG
rnacentral:rRNA from 1 species